CAAAGUGACCACUGACCACCUCACAGUGAUGAGUGAAGGUGUCGCAAAGCUUUAAUCACGAAUAAUUUAAUUGUUUGAUUGUAGUGAGUAUAUGGCAAAUGAGUCCGUUAACGAAAAAGUUUACUUUUUACCUCUCGAUUGCUGUGUGACCCACGGAUAUUCCGUUAGACCGUUACCCCUCUAAUGUGUUGUCUUCUAAAGCCAAUCUCUUACAGCUUGUAUGAACAAGGCUAUCUCGAGAUUGAGUGUUUAAGUCACGACCGACGGACCGACAUCGGCGCGAAUGCGUUCAUUGCAAAACGCAUCUUUGCCGAAAGAACUGACAUCCGGGAAGAAAUUGGCUUUGGCGAUGAAAUGCAUGCGUUGGGGAAAGAAAUACGUAACACUACUACCAGUCCCCCAUCAAAUGAAAUAUUGCUGCAUUUUUUACUUUUGGUCAAGACAGAAUUUGAAAAACCUCUUUAUCAAGAGCUAUCUACUAUCUGAGGCAGGGCACAGUGCAGGAAGAAUUCAUCACGUGAACGCUAUUUCGUGUGCCCUGACACGCAGGAUACGAAUUACUUGUAAUCUAAAAUUGAGUGAAGAUAGUGGACGAGAGAAGCAACACAGAAGCUGCUCAGUGCUCACCUCUGGAAGACGUUGAGCGAAGAUGAAUUGGAAGUGAAAUGCAGUCCGUUUCGUUUCCUCCACUGCCAAAUCAAUCGCUCUGCUGCACUGAUUGAAGUGUUGACGAAUCUAGUCAAUCGGUCCACCCAUCUAAUUGUGAAGUUCCCCUGAUUGAUUUAGUCGUUAAUAAUUUUUUUUUAAUGACACUGAAGAGGAUCUCUGGU